rnacentral:rRNA from 1 species
UUCCUUGAACCGCAUGGUUCAAGGAUGAAAGACGGUUUCGGCUGUCACUUACAGAUGGACCCGCGGCGCAUUAGCUAGUUGGUGGGGUAAUGGCUCACCAAGGCGACGAUGCGUAGCCGACCUGAGAGGGUGAUCGGCCACACUGGGACUGAGACACGGCCCAGACUCCUACGGGAGGCAGCAGUAGGGAAUCUUCCGCAAUGGACGAAAGUCUGACGGAGCAACGCCGCGUGAGUGAUGAAGGUUUUCGGAUCGUAAAGCUCUGUUGUUAGGGAAGAACAAGUGCGAGAGUAACUGCUCGCACCUUGACGGUACCUAACCAGAAAGCCACGGCUAACUACGUGCCAGCAGCCGCGGUAAUACGUAGGUGGCAAGCGUUGUCCGGAAUUAUUGGGCGUAAAGGGCUCGCAGGCGGUUUCUUAAGUCUGAUGUGAAAGCCCCCGGGCUCAACCGGGGAGGGUCAUUGGAAACUGGGAAACUUGAGUGCAGAAGAGGAGAGUGGAAUUCCAAGGCGUGUAGCGGUGAAAUGCGUAGAGAUGUGGAGGAACACCAGUGGCGAACGCGACUCUCUGGUCUGUAACUGACGCU